AGUGAACGCUGGCGGUAGGCCUAACACAUGCAAGUCGAACGGCAGCACAGUAAGAGCUUGCUCUUACGGGUGGCGAGUGGCGGACGGGUGAGGAAUACAUCGGAAUCUACUUUUUCGUGGGGGAUAACGUAGGGAAACUUACGCUAAUACCGCAUACGCCCUACGGGUGAAAGCAGGGGAUCUUCGGACCUUGCGCGAUUGAAUGAGCCGAUGUCGGAUUUGCUAGUUGGCGGGGUAAAGGCCCACCAAGGCGCCGAUCCGUAGCUGGUCUGAGAGGAUGAUCAGCGACACUGGAACUGGGACACGGUCCAGACUCCUGCGGGAGGCAGCAGUGGGGAAUAUUGGACAAUGGGCGCAAGCCUGAUCCAGCCAUACCGCGUGGGUGAAGGAGGCCUUCGGGUUGUAAAGCCCUUUUGUUGGUAAAGAAAAGCAGCAGGUUAAUACCCCGCUGUUCUGACGGUACCCAAAGAAUAAGCACCGGCUAACUUCGUG
rnacentral:rRNA from 1 species